rnacentral:lncRNA from 1 species
GUUGACCAUCUACUUAUAAUGUAAUAAUACUUCCAAAGUAAAAAAGAUUAUUUGUCCAAGCUUUAAUAAAUCUCUUCUUAUAUGGUAUCCAAGUAAUUUUUAAAUACUCAAUAGUUCUAUAAGCAAUAGUAAGAAUGUACUUAUUGCAAAGAUUAGUCCAUUCUAAAUCAAAAAAACUCUACAAAACAUGCAAUAAUCAUAGUGGCCUAAUGUGCAAGGAAUAAAAAAUCCUAGCUUUAUUUUGUUUAAAAAAUAUUUUUUAUAAUUUACAAACAUAUUUUUUUUUAUACAUGCCAAAUAUAAGGCAACAUAUU